AACGAACGCUGGCGGCAUGCCUAACAUAUGCAAGUCGAACGAGACCUUCGGGUCUAGUGGCGCACGGGUGCGUAACGCGUGGGAACCUGCCCUUAGGUUCGGAAUAACUCCCCGAAAGGGGUGCUAAUACCGGAUAAUGUCUUCGGACCAAAGAUUUAUCGCCUUUGGAUGGGCCCGCGUUGGAUUAGCUAGUUGGUAGGGUAAAAGCCUACCAAGGCGACGAUCCAUAGCUGGUCUGAGAGGAUGAUCAGCCACACUGGGACUGAGACACGGCCCAGACUCCUACGGGAGGCAGCAGUGGGGAAUAUUGGACAAUGGGCGAAAGCCUGAUCCAGCAAUGCCGCGUGAGUGAUGUAGGCCUUAGGGUUGUAAAGCUCUUUUACCCGGGAUGAUAAUGACAGUACCGGGAGAAUAAGCUCCGGCUAACUCCGUG
rnacentral:rRNA from 1 species